rnacentral:rRNA from 1 species
ACGAACGCUGGCGGCAGGCCUAACACAUGCAAGUCGAACGCCCUAGCAAUAGGGAGUGGCAGACGGGUGAGUAACGCGUGGGAACCUUCCCUAUGGUGCGGAAUAACUCGCCGAAAGGCGUGCUAAUACCGCAUAAGCCCGCAAGGGGAAAGAUUUAUCGCCAUAGGGUGGGCCCGCGUAGGACUAGCUAGUUGGUGAGGUAAUGGCUCACCAAGGCGACGAUCCUUAGCUGGUUUGAGAGAAUGACCAGCCACACUGGGACUGAGACACGGCCCAGACUCCUACGGGAGGCAGCAGUGGGGAAUCUUGGACAAUGGGCGCAAGCCUGAUCCAGCCAUGCCGCGUGAGUGACGAAGGCCUUCGGGUUGUAAAGCUCUUUUGGCGGGGACGAUAAUGACGGUACCCGCAGAAUAAGCCCCGGCUAACUUCGUGCCAGCCGCCGCGGUAAUU